GAAUAAAGUGUGAUCUGCAUUACUCUGUAUAUAUCCAAAAGAGAAAAGAAACUAAAUACCAUGCAUCGAAUCACACUACCGAUGCUUACGGAUGACACUACCUACGGCAACUAGACUAUCGAACGUUCUCUGUGACUUACAAAUAGUCUAGUUCAUGACAAUGGAGUACAUUAGAUAGAAAAAAGAAGUAAAAAGACUGAAAUACCUUGUUAUUGCGGCGGAGGAAACUCGUCGAAAAUCGCACCGCUGUCUGAUAUAGCCGAAAAUCGCCUAGAUUGCCGAACGUACUAGCAGGAAAUCGCCUAAAUUGCCGAAUGGGAUCGCCGGAAAUCACCUUUCUCAAAGCUCUCAAAUCGCUCUCACAACGCAAGUGACCCCUCUAUCCGGAGUCACCUCUAUUUAUAGAAGAAAGAAUAGACCGGUACACCUCGAAAAACCAACUGACGCCAUUAUUACCCUGUUCUGUGUGCACGCUACUACACGUGGCACUAGCUAGGGACCGAGGCUUUCAACACGCAAGGCGCAGAAGACUAAGAGUCUGCAUGGCCAGUCAAUCCCACUUCCCAUAGAAACAAGCCGCAUAUGGGGCCCGAACGUUGACCGCACCAAAGACUGUCGUAUGGAAGGGGGACAUGUACCGAACGACGUAGCAAGAUUAGGUAACCCUUGGACUGCCUGCAUCUCACCUCAUCUGAAGGCUGUACCUCCCUAAAAGCGCACCUGGCUCCACGGCUUCAUAAAUAUACCGAACGGUGUCGUCUUGCUGACGACAAUCCACGCAUACCGAAGGACAAAGCAAGUCCUAACUGAGAAGCCCUCUUAAUUAGGGACUUGGGGGACUCUUGUUUAUACUAGAAUCGACGACCAAUAAAGACAUGACAAGUGGACAAAAUAUGGCAUCGGCAGGGUAGCCUUCGGCACCCAGAGAUGCCGAAGGCACCAUUAGGGCAAAUUCAGCCUCUGGCCACGUGGAAUGCAUACAGUGAAUGUCAAUAGUCUCACACCGAAAUUCUACACAACAUGCACACCUCCCAAGGCUUAUAAAAAGGGACACAAUUCCCAAAAUGGAGGUAACUGGAACUUUCGGCAUACUAGCCAUCACUAUGUCCAGAUGAUUUACGAAAUUCGUACUUACUUAAGCAUCGGAGAGUCUUCGGCCGAUACUACACUGGUGCCCUAGGUCUUACUGAGUGUUUCUUAUCUUACAGAUCAAACGCUCGUGCUAAGGCCCAGACAUCACUAAGUUGAGUCAAAAAGUGAAAAGUGGUCAACAAUAUAUAUAUAUAUAUACAUGUAUUAUGUACGGACAUAAUUCUUCAGACUGAUGCAUGACGCAUGCCGAUAGAUACAUGUCAUUAGAAUUCUGAAAAGAAAAUAGCUAAUAACCAGAAAUUUUUGCAUAUGAAACUAAUUUGAAGUUUGGAAUUAAAACUAGCUACUAGCUAGCUUCCCUAAAUCCAAAAUCUUCUAGGAGGUUAGUUUAGCAGAAAACUUACAAAGAGAAAUCCAGUGAAAUUGGAAAUUCCAUAGCCAGAGGAAGCAUAAUUGACACCUUGUAGAAGAUUCUCUCCAAGAGCAGUUGGAGCCAAGUAAGGUGGAGUAAAUUUUUUCAAACUCAUUUCCUGUUCUUUUUUUUGGUUUGAAAUUCAUGUUGUAUUCAAAAAACCCCAAAACAAGGAAUAGAGAUACUGUUGAAAAAAAUAAUGCUCAUUUGUGUUCUAUACAAUUCUAGAAAAGUCAAGACUUCAAAAGAUAGAGGUGGCAAUACAAGAAUAUUCUAGAACAAGCUAAAUGCUCAAGGUGGUGGAACAAAGCAAUUGAAGUUUGAAUAACAUUCUAGUACAAGACACAUGUAUGGCUAAGAAAUGAAGAAGCCCAAGUUGGUGGCUGUGCAUAUCGGCAAAGGGGCCUAUAAAUAGGCAUGCAACCACAAUGAAAUGUGGAGUCAACUAAUAGAACUCCCAAUCUAUGUGGGAGUAGAACCAAUCAACUCCCAAACUAUUAGGGAGCCCAGAGUUACCCAAAUCAAACUAUGUUGAGAGCCAAUAAGCUCACCAAUCAAAGUGUAAGGGCCAAAUAGCCCAAACUAUUCUAAACUAAGUGUGGUGGCCAAUAAGCCAAUAUGCUAAGUGUAGAAUAUCAAUUAGCCUACACCAAGUAAUGUAAUAUUCUCCUCCAAUCUAAUAAAAUCACUUUGUUUCCCCUUCAAUUCUAACAGAUACAAACAGAAGGCUAAAGCCACGAGGAGCCAACAGAACACAAGAACAAAUAACAAAAGCAGGGUCAGACAUAGCUAGAUUCCAACGGAGCCUAGAACAACAGUCCCUACCCAGCAAACUAGCUACUAAUAGGAAUUAAAACUAAACAGCAGAUGCAACAUGAGGUGGACAAGGCAAACCAUCAGAAGUUUACACCCCAACGAGAGGCAAUGGUGGUCUGUACUCUGUCGACAGAAAAUAAGAAAAUUGUAAAACUGUGCUUCCAUACUCAGAUUAAUACGUUUCUGCAAUGAGUAGAGAUAUAUUAUAAGUUGGCAGAAUUGAAUUCCCAAAGAGAAAGAGGCAGUUAUAUAUAUAUAUAUAUAUGUAGUAUGAAUGAUUGAAAAUCCAUCGAAACGUUACGUACGAAUAAUGUCAACAACUGUUCUCCCAUUUGAAAAUCUUCCUGUUGGGUUAUUCCCAAAAUCCAUUCCAUGGGGGUAAAAAUUUGCCUUAGCUAUAGUUCGAAGGUUGUUGUUGUUCCCCACAUCAACCAAGGAAUCGCCAAAAGUGAAAACAGCAGGAACAUUAUUUUGGGCUGAGCAGCUAACCAACAAAAACAAGUAGGCUACAAAAAUUUGGAAUAUAAUAUUUAUCCCCAUUAAUUUUAAGAUAGAAAUAACUUUUGAUAAGGGGGGUUGUUUAUAUACAACUUUUGAUACCUAUGGGAAUACUUGUGCCUAACUGGUCUGUGAAAUUCCCUCUCAAUUCACCAUUGAAUUUGUGCCUAACUAUCUCUAGGCCGGCCGCAGUGAUAUUGGAACGCCAUUAUUUCUGAGCUAAGUUCGUUAGGUGCCAAAGAAAAGAGGGAUCGGAGAACCCAUUUAAGAGCUUAAUACACUCUCUUUACGUUGUAUUUAGGUAGGAAAUGGAUUUCUUAGCUGUGUGGCCUGAACCCAAGGUUCUGCAUGGAAUUUACUGCCUUCAGACCACCUAUUGUCUCCUAAAUUAAAUUAAAUGUUAUCAUCAAAAAAAAUAAAUAAAUAAAUGUUAAGGUUCUGUAUGGUCUUUGUUAAAAAAAAUAUAUAUAUAAUCACAUUAUUAAACUUUUGUCUAACGGAUCAUGACAGCAUACAUAUUUCUCAACUAGUUUAGCGUCACCUACCAAUCGAUUGCACCUUUUAAUCUCAACAAAUUUUUACUAAGUAAUUAGGAGUAAAUUUUUUUCCUUUUAAUCUCAAUUUUUUUACUUGUUUUCUUUCUUGCAAUCCUUUACUUGCAAUUUGCAAAGUCCCAGUCUUUCUAGUAAAUUACUCUUCUUUGAAACAAUCGAACGAAAUGGUACUCGGCCUAAAUUGAGUCUGGAUAGCCAGCUGAGUGUUCAUCAGUUACUUGAGCAGCCUCUAUGAUGAUAAUGAUGGUCGUACUAGACCUAGACUGGUUGUUGCUUAAUUGGUUUUUGUUUGGGCGGUAGCCCUCCAUUCAACCAGAAAAUAAAUACAUAAAAAAAGUCCAACCAAAUGCCCUAAAUGUAAAUUCGACUUAAAAUUAGAAGUCAGAAACCGAUAGUAUAUCACUGGUUGAUUGAGUAGAGAGCAUAAGAUAAUUUUCUUUUUCUUUUUCAUACAAGUGAUAUUGGGAGAGGGGAGAAUCGAAACUAAGAUCUCAAGUGCAUGGAUAAAUGCUCUUGAGCUACAAGCCCCUUGCAAAGCAUAAGAUACUUACAUUCUUAUUAUAAUUCCCAUAAUGUUCUAAUGCCAUGUUUAUGAAGAGAAUGUUUUGAACUUAGGAUGAGGUUUGAAUGUUCUUGAGUUUAUUAGUGAAAAACUUAUAAACUUCAAAUUAAUGACAUUGAAAUGUGAAAUAGCUUGGAUUUGGUUCCAAAAUCUAUUUCAUCACAGAACCAUCAUGAGUUUUUGAAAAACAAACAUUUUGCAGUUUAUUCAGGGACUGCUAUGCUAGCUCAAGACUGAACAAGUUGCCUAAAAUUCAUAGGUGAUACAUAAUUUAAGCCACCAUCCAUAAUAUGCCUUGUUGCAAUAACAUUAGCAGCGUCUGUUAAGUGAAACGCAUCCCAGAAUAUAUACUUGGAUCUGUCGGGACAAAUUUUAGAAAAAGGAUUGCAUGGCACCAGUCCCACUCGGGUCACGGCAAACGAGCAGCAUGCAGAAGUUGCAUUCUCAAAGCCUGCAUACAGUGAAACACAACAACAACAACAACAGCAGCAGCAGCAGAGGUUAAAAUUGUGAUAUUAGUUAUUACAUGAUAAAUAAACAAAUAAAUGCCCCAAAAGAUAGAAUAUACACGCACCAUAUGACACAUAAUUUUUUGUGAGAUCUAGUAAUAUUUGGUAAAUAUCUACGUAAAUAAACUUUGCCCCUUGAAGAUCUUUGUUAAGCUCGGCAAGCAUGCCCUUCAACUUGUCGUUAUAUGUUUGAGCCAUACGAUUUAUCAGACGAACACAACUUCCCUUUGGAACUGGAUGUAUUUCUUUCUCAUAUGGAAUACACCCACUAGGUCCAGCGUUGGCGACGGUGAUCUUUCUAGCAUUCAAGUUGUAGAGUGUCUGCAAAGAAGGAACAAAAUUUAUAAAAAAAAAUUGUCAAAUUAAUCUGUACAAAACUACUACUAAAGAUUAAUGUGGUUAGUUUACAUGAGUCAAUAGUCUAAAUUAUUAAGGAAUUUUACUUACAGUGAGUGCUAAUUUGAGUCUUGAAAUCAAGAAAUCCAAAUAAGCUUCUUCGGACAUGGACAUGGCCAUGGGUGUAAACUCCCUGAACAUUAUAUCGUUAGAGCCAAUUACAACCCCAUAAAUGGCUCUUCUCAACAAUUUCUGAGCUGCAGGAAUGCCAAUCCUCGACAUGAUAGCAAGCACUGUUCUUCCAUGGUUACUUAUUUGCGUGUCAAAAUUGAUUCGUUCACCCUAUUAUAUAUGUACAUAAUAUUCUGACUUACAAUUAAUAAAAGCAAAUUGCACACCAUGGUAUGGUAUGUAUUAUAAGUUAAAAUUAGCUUUCUCAUAGCAUCAGGAAGCUAAUUUGAACGCAUAAUACAACUCGUUUAGUUCUGAAUUAAGACUAGCUAACUUCCUUAAAUCCAAAAACUUGUAGGUUUGGGAGAAAACUUACAAAGAAAUAUCCAGUAUAAUUGAAAAUUCCAGAGCCAGAGGAAGCAUAAUUGACACCCUGCAGAAGUGCGUCUCCAACAGUAGUUGGUGCCAAGUAAGGAGGAGUAAAUUGUGCGAAACCCAAUUCCUGUUCUGUCAUAACAAAAUGAGAAAGUAGUGAAGUUAAUUUAAGCACAUAUCUCUACAUUGUUGCAAAAAUAGUGUACAUAUAUAAAUUGUAAUACUAAUUUGCCAGAAUUGAAAGACUUGUCGUAUGAAUAUCAUCAAAACGUAUCUUACGAAGAAUGUCAAAAGUUGUUCUCCCAUUUGAAAAUUGUCCUCUUGGGUUAUUCCCAAAAUCAAUUCCAUGAGGGUAAAAAUUUGCCUUAGCUUGAGUUAGAAGGUUGUUGUUGUUCCCCACAUCAACCAAGGAAUCGCCAAAAGUGAAAAAAGCAGGAACACUUUUGUUGGCUGAGCAGCUAACCAACAAGAAGAAGUAGACUACAAGAAUUUGGAAUAUAAUCCCCAUUUCAUGAAAUAAUGAUAACCUUUCUUUCUUUUUCAUAAGGGGGUUGGUUAUAUAUGUGUGUAUGUGUGUAUAUAUAUAUAUAUAUAUGCCUAACUUGGUCUAUGAAAUUCCCUCUUUCUUCAUAUUGAUUAAAUUUGUGCCUAACUCUCUGUCGGCCACACAGUUCCAUUUGUUAUUUUUGCCUCCAUUAUUACCUUUAGAUUGACUUCAAUAAAAUUGCGUGACCAUUAGCAGAAGCCAUAAGGUCAGACUUUAAUGUCAAUACAGCCAAUGGUACUCUGAUUUCUGAGCCAAGUUUCAUAGCUAGGUUCAAAGGAAAGAAGGAAGGAGGCAGCAGAACCCAUAUUUGGGGAUUUCACUCAUCUUUCAGUUGGGCUUUGGCUAGGAAUUGGGUGUUCAUCGCUUUUGGCCUAUGCCUAAUGUCAUGAAAUUUACUCCUUCUGUAUAGGUAUAGACUACGUACCUCUUGGUCUACUUCAAAUUUUUUAAUCAACACGAACAAGAGAGGAGAAUACAAAUUAGGGUAUUCCACAUAUAAGCCCAUAUAAAUAGGGCCCAAAAUAUAGAAAAAUCCUACAAUAUUCAAACUCUAAAGAAAAAAUCCAUUUGACUUUUCGAAAUGACCAAAUAUAUAAUACAAGCCUUUAGAAACCUAAAAACAACACUCCAUGAAAGGCUUUUUUUUUUUUUUUUUUUUUUUUUCCCUUUUAAAAAUCAUAAUGCAAGGAUAAUAAUAGUAUUUCACACAUCAUUCAAAUUAAAAAUUGGUACAUCUGAUCCUUGUUGGGUUUUUUCCUUCAAUUUAUAGGUCAGUGUUUAUAUAUAAAAUCAAUGCAAGAAAUGAGGUUUAUUAUAAAUUUCUCUACAAAGUAGGGCAUCUUCAAGAUUAUGAGUAUUUAGGUUGUCUGCAUUGUUGGCAUGACUUGUGGAUAUUGACUUACUUUCCUUACACACCAAGAAUUCCUAUUAUAAUUGUAAUUGAUUUACUUUAAUUCAUGAUUUCCUACUGCAAAUAGAUUUAGGAACUUAUUAUUUACUUGCCCAUUCAGGUUUCGUUGUAUUAUAAAUAUGACCUCCUACAAGGAGAAGAAUACACAGAAAAUUCCCACAAACAAAUAUUCUCUCAUAGUUUUUAUAUUUUAGCAUGGUAUCAGAGCAGCGAUCUUGGAAUUGCUGACUCUAGUUUCAAACCCCCGCCGCUGCUAUGGGGGUUAAUGAUUUUUUCAACCCUCAUGGAGGUAGCACUACCGACUCCUUCUCUCAUUCUCCACCAACCAUCGUUGAGUUGAGUGCCCAGAUGGCUCCGCUCCUACAGAUGCAGACUUUGACCCCGAACCCGAUCCAGAAUCAGGAUCCUCUUUGAAAGACCCUGACCCCGACCCGACCCCGACUAUGACGACGACGACCCCGACCCCGACUCCGAAGACGACCCCGACCCCGACUCCGAAGACGACCCCGACCCCUACUCCGAUGAUGACCCUAACCCCGAAUUUGUCUCUGAUUCAGACCCUGAUCCCGAUUUCGACUCCGACUCCGGCCCCGACUCAGGUUCAGAUUUCGAUCCCAAUUCCUACUCCACCUGUAUCCUAUGCAUCUUCCGCUGCACAGAUUAUGACUACUAGACUAACGACCCCGACACAUGGACUAGAUUGCGCAUAUUGUGGUGAUCCGAGACGCACUUGUGAGACUUGUUUUAAAUCGCAUGGCUACCCCAAUUGGUGGGCUACUCUUAUAGAUCGAGGACAAUGCAAUAUGACCAGUAAUGGUACUGGUUAUGGAUUUCAUACUUCCGAUAAGAUUGAUUCCAGGAGCUGGAUAAUUGAUUCCGGUGCAACUGAUCAUAUGACGUUUGAUCCUGAUGAUUUUCUGAAUACUACACAACCUCGACGAACCUGUAUUGCAAAUGCCAAUGGUGUUACUUAUCCUGUGACAGGGGCUGGCACUGUUGCACUCUCAUCCUCUCUUACACUGUCUAAUACUUUACUUGUUCCAUCUUUAUCCACUAAAUUGUUGUCAGUUAGUCAGCUUACUGAACAAUUGAAUUGUUGUGUACUCAUUUACCCGAGUUUUUGUUUGCUUCAAGAUAUUCACACUAAGGAGAUUCUUGGUCUUAGUACUAAGAGAGGGGGGCUAUAUUAUGUCGAUGACUUCAGUCCCGGCAUGGCUAACAACGUGACACAUCCCUUUGAUAGCAAACAAAAGCAAAUCUGGUUGUGGCACCGUCGAUUGGGACAUCCGUCUUUUAGUUAUAUGAAGCAUCUUAUACCAGAUUUAUUCUCAGGUUUCAAGGACUCUGACUUCACAUGUGAUACUUGUAUUUUGGCCAAGAGUCACCGUGUGCCCUACCCGUUGAGUACGAACAAGUGUACUACUCCAUUUACGUUAAACCACUCUGAUGUCUGGGGACCUUCUCCUAUCACUGCUCCUUCUGGUGUUCGAUGGUUUGUCACAUUCAUCAAUGAUUGUAUACGGAUGACAUGGCUUUAUUUGCUGAAGAAAAAAAACAAAGUGUUUUCCUGUUUUCAGUCCUUUCACAAACAGAUGAAAACUCAGUUUAAUGCUCAAAUCCAGAUUCUUCGCUCAGACAAUGGUGGAGAAUUUGUCAAUCACGACUUUCAGACUUACUUCCAACAACAUGGAAUUAUCCAUGAGACGACUUGUCCUCAGACACCACAACAAAAUGGUGUUGCUGAACGAAAGAAUCGACAUCUUCUUGAAACCGCCCGAGCACUUCUGAUUGGCGCUCAUGUUCCUCGCCAUCACUGGGAUGAUGCUAUUGUCACCGCAGUUCAUCUGAACAACCGCAUGCCUUCUGGUGUACUGACCUUUAAAACUCCUUUACAGGUGCUUGCACAACACAGACCUCUACAUUCUGUUUUGGUACUCACACCCCGAAUCUUUGGAUGUGUGGCUUUCGUUCAUCUCCAUAAAAAUCAACGUAGCAAACUUGAUCCAUGUGCGCUUCGUUGUGUUUUUGUGGGUUAUGCCACUCAUCAGAAAGGCUACCGCUGUUAUCACCCUCCUACCCAACGAACCUAUGUCACUUUGGAUGUGACCUUUCUGGAAUCUGAGCUGUUCUUCCAUGACCCAUCAUCCAAUUCUACACUUCAUGGGGAGAUACGAAGUGAAGAGCAGAAUUGGAGCAACUUGGAAAAUAAAGAAAUUCUCCUUUGUACAGAAAUGAUUGAUCAUUCCGAGUCUGGAGCACGAGAUUACUCUCUGUCAAAAAGCGACCAAUCGCCCAUUCAUAGCGAUCAAUUGCCUGACCCACCUGAUCCAUGCGAAGAUAUUUCUGAUCCGAGUCUCACACCUAUAGACAAUACAGAACAACAAGAUGAAGACCCCCCCUCUAACUCAACAGUACCAACAGACCAAUCUCCUGAGAAUAUCCUUGAGGUAACUACUCCUACUAGACUUGUGCAUUUAGAUGAUAAAACUAUUGGAUAUCAAUUACCUUUCAGGCAAAAUUGUGGGAAGCCACCAAACCGUUAUUCACCUGAUAUUGGCAAGACAUCCAAGUAUCCAAUUGCAAAUCAUGUAUCUACUGAGAAGCUGUCUGAACCACUCAAGGCUUUUGUGCAUCAGUUGUCUGCUAUCCAUAUUCCAACCAAGGUCUCUGAAGCAUUGAAAGAUCCUAAGUGGGUACAAGCUAUAAAAGAGGAGAUGAAAGCCCUUGAGAAAAAUCAGACUUGGACAUUUGAGACUAUACCGUGAGGAAAAAAGACUAUCGGAUGUAGAUGGGUGUUUACUAUAAAACACAAUGCAGAUGGAUCUAUCGAGCGAUACAAGGCAAGACUUGUGGCAAAAGGGUACACACAGACCUAUGGUAUAGAUUAUGAAGAAACCUUUGCUCCAGUUGCAAAGUUAAACGCUGUCAGAGUCUUAUUAUCCCUUGCAGCUAAUUUGGAUUGGCCACUACACCAGUUUGAUGUAAAGAAUGCUUUUCUACAUGGCGAACUCACGGAGGAGGUGUACAUGGACAUUCCUCCUGGAUAUAAUACUACUCAGACUGGAACAGUUUGCAGGUUACGAAAAGUAUUGUAUGGAUUGAAACAGUCACCACGUGCAUGGUUUGGACGGUUCACCAUGGCAAUGAAGAACAAUGGUUUCAAACAGUGCAACUCAGAUCAUACUCUGUUCUUGAGACAUCAAAAAGGGAAGGUAACAGUAUUAAUAAUCUAUGUUGAUGAUAUGAUUAUUACUGGGAAUGAUAAACAGGAAAUAUCACAGCUACAAGACUAUCUGGCUACGGAGUUUGAGAUGAAGGAUCUAGGUGGACUCAAGUAUUUCUUGGGAAUUGAGGUGGCUCGAUCGCAGCAAGGCAUAUUUCUCUCUCAAAGGAAAUAUGUCUUAGACUUGUUGACAGACACAGGAAUGCUAGAUUGUAAACCUGCGGACACUCCUAUUGUUCAGAAUCAUCAUAUUGGAGAAUAUCCGGAUCAAGUUCCAACUAACAAAGAAAGAUACCAAAGGUUAGUGGGAAGAUUGAUCUAUUUGUCACAUACUCGACCAGAUAUUGCUUAUGCGGUGAGCGUUGUCAGUCAAUUUAUGCACUCUCCUAGUGAAGACCAUAUGAAUGCAGUUCUUCGGAUACUUAGAUAUUUGAAGUCUGCACCUGGAAAAGGACUUAUGUUCUCAAAGCAUGGUCAUCUAAAUAUUGAUGGUUAUUCAGAUGCAGAUUGGGCAGGUAAUGUAACAGAUAGAAAAUCCACAUCGGGUUACUUCACAUUCGUGGGAGGUAAUUUGGUGACAUGGAGAAGCAAGAAACAGAAUGUAGUAGCUUUAUCCAGUGCAGAAGCUGAGUUCAGAGGCAUGACUAAAGGGAUUUGUGAACUUCUUUGGUUAAGAAAGUUGCUUACUGAACUUGGGUAUAAACCUACAUCCACAAUGAAUCUCUUUUGUGACAACAAGGCUGCUAUAGCCAUUGCACAGAAUCCGGUUCAGCAUGAUCGUACUAAACAUGUUGAGGUGGAUCGACACUUCAACAAACAAAAGCUUGAGGUUAAAGUGUUUCAGUUUCCUUUUGUGAAAUCCGAGGAUCAAUUGGCGGAUAUUUUGACAAAGGCGAUUUCCAGUAAAGCAUUCCACAAUUCACUAGAUUAGUUGGGCAUUGGCGACAUCUAUGCACCAACGAGAGGGGGAGUGUUGGCGUGACUUGUGGAUAUUGACUUACUUUCCUUACACACCAAGAAUUCCUAUUAUAAUUAUAAGUGAUUUACUUUAAUUCCUGAUUUCCUACUGCAAAUAGAUUUAGGAACUUAUUAUUUACUUGCCCAUUCAGGUUUCGUUGUAUUAUAAAUAUGACCUCCUACAAGGAGAAGAAUACACAGAAAAUUCCCACAAACAAAUAUUCUCUCAUAGUUUUCAUAUUUUAGCAUGCAUUUUCAUGAAUUUAGGCUAUCCUCAUCCUUUAAUUAAUCUAAUGUCUCAAGUAGCUCUACGUCAAUAUAAAUCUUUUAGGCCCAACUCACCUUUAUGAUUUUUGUUUAUGUUCAUCAUUUUCUUCUCUGGUCUAUCUUCUCUUAUGAACCAAAAACCUCAUUCUAGUUUAUGUUAUCUAUCUCCUCUAAUAUGUCAGCCUCCCUUUGCACUCCAUUCCAAUCACGUUUGGUCUUGGAAAUAGGACUGUGAUUAUCAUUGUUCAUAAUCUUAGGUGUAUAUAGUUAACCCAACGAAUUAGUUCACAGUUUUGGGCUUCAAAUCUAUUGCCUCAAACAAAUUAGCAAACCUAAUUCACAUUGCUGAACAAAUUUUAUCUGCUGAUUCAACUAAAAUGCGAAAAGAAACAAAAAGAGAGCUUUAGUGAUAUACCCAAAAUAGAGGCUGAAAUUAUAAAAAAACCCUACAUGAAAUACACUUUAGAAACAUACCCAAAAAUCAUUUACUACAUACAAAAUGAGUGUUGAAUUUUCUAUAAAUUACAUGACUGCCACUAACUAACUUAAAAGAAGCCCAAUACAAAAAACCCAAAAAAACCUAAAACAAGCCCAAUCCAGAUUUUUAUUUUUUUUAUUUAUAAAAAAAACGAAAACCAAGGGCAUGCCCCUACGACCCUUUCUUCUCCAUCGAACCUCUGCAAACCAUGUCAUAGAAGUACAUUGUUAAUACCAUUUCAUAGGAAAACAUUGUUAAUACCAUUUCAUACAAAAACAUUGUUAAUACCAUUUCAUACCAAAAAAUAUAUAUAUAUAUUUUUAAUACCAUUUCUUACAAAAAGAUAUUGUUAAUACCAUUUCAUACAAAUAGAACAUUGUUAAUACCAUUUCAUACAAUAAACCAUUGUUAAUACCAUUUCAUAGAAAUACAUUGUUAAUACCAUGUCAUAGACGUACAUUGUUAAUAUCAUGUCAUAGAAGUACAUUGUUAAUACAAUUUCAUAGAAAACAUUGUUACUACCAUUUCAUAGAAAACAUUGUUAAUACCAUUUCAUACAAAAAAACUCAAAAAAAACCCAGUAAUACAUCCGAUAUUCUGUGCAGAAACGACCUCUAAUUGUCCAAAGUUUCACCAGAAAUCAUCGCAAAGGCAAAAGGAAAUACCUCUACAAGAAAAAAAAAAAAGUACACUGUUAAUACUAUGUCAUAGAAGUACACUGUUAAUACUAUGUCAUAGAACUAUUUGAAAGUGUUACCUUCAUUACCUUAGUGAUAGUCACAGAUUUUUAACCACAGCUCAAACCAAAACACAAGAUUAAAUUCACAACCAAACUGAAUCUAAAAUCAAUCCAAAUUAUAAACAACAAAAAAUUAAAAUCACAAUUCAAAACUCAAAUGAAUAUCAAAUACAAAUUACCUAAGUGGCCUAAACCGAAUCGUCAUCGAGACGCUAUCCCCAACGCCUUCACGAUGACCGCCACCUCAGUAGCCAACGCCGCCAUAUCCUCCGCGGCUGUAACCUCCGUUACCACCACCACCACCGUCGCUUCCACGAGAUUGGGCCUCAUUGACGGUUAUGUUACGGCCGUCAAGGUUCUAGCCGUUUAUGCCUUCGAUCGCGUCCCUUAUGGCCUUCUCGUGGUUGAAAGUGACGAAGCCGAAGCCCCUGGACCUCUCGAUCUCACGGUCGUUGAUGAUCUUCGAUUCGAUGAUCUCACCGAACAGAGAAAAGGCCUCUGCAACCCAUCAUUGUCGGUGGAGGAAAGAGUCGGCCUCAUGGAUCAGGACCCGAGUCCACUUCUUGAGUUGUAAAAUGACCUUGCCUAUGACUAAGAUGCGAGAGAUUGAGCUAUGAGAUUUGGAAAUAGCUGCAAGAUCUAUGAGAAAGCAAGUGAGAGAUCUAGAAAGCAAUGAAAAUUAGAGAUGCGGCUCUGACGGGGAGGUUAGUGAAAUCGGCAGUUCGUCGAUUUCUCACAGACCAGCUCCUAGAUUUUGAAGGAGCAAUCGCCGUUUAUCUUAAUUGAGCCUUGGAGCUGGGUUUAUUUUGGGCAAAAGGGCAAAACAAUAAUUCAACAUUGCUAUUAAAUUUAAAAAAUCUACAGCUGUCGAUUUUUGGGUUUAUUUUGGGUGUGUUUCUAUACUUUAAAUAGUAUAGGGUAUAUUUAUAGUUUCAUGUCUAGGAAUGGGUAUUUCACUAAUUUUGUAAAACAAAAAUUAUUACUUCACCAGCCACCAUAGCCUCUAAUCCGGUUAUUUUGUAAUAAUGUUUGAUGUUGUAAGGGCCAACAAAUCUUUCCAUGGCAGGGACCAUUUGACGGAACCUAACAGCAGGGACUAUUUGUGAGCACACAUACUAACUUUGAGGACCAUGAAUGACAAAAAAAAUAAUAAAGAUGCAAUAUAAUAGUUUUGUAAAUCUUAGAGACAUUUGAUGAUACUAAGCCUAUAUAUAUACACAAAAUGUGACAUUAUAAUUCCAACAUUCUCUUGAAAUUCUUCAAAAGUCAUAGCUUGGGUUUAAGUUUCGCAUUUGUUGCAAACUACAUGACUAUUCAAUACAUCAACGCUCGAGUCUCAUUACAGGAUUAGGGAGAGACAUAAAAUUAAGUUAAGCCACCAUCCGUACCUUAUCUCUUUAGUUUUCCUUUUCUUUUUUAGGAAAUUAGUCUGGCUUUAGUUAGGAAAUGCUGGGUUUAGGUUGCUACACAAAUUUUAGUUUUGCUUUGUAAAUUUUCGGUGUGUGGCCUUUGCUUUUGAGUUUCGGGGUUGUGUUCUUGUGUUUGAGCAUGUUUUGUUGGGCCUUUUAUUGCUCAUAGGCUUAAUUGAUCGUAUUUUAAUCAGAACAAAACAGAGGAUUUGAACAUGAAACGAGCCGAAAAGAAAAAAAUGUAUGUAUGUAUUGAAAAAUAAAAAGUAAAUCUUCUUGAUCCAAAGUUUGGAAAGCACUGAAGAUUCGAAUUCAACAUGAACUGAAUAGUUUUGGUAGCAACAAUGGUAUUGCAAUUUAAAUUAACAAACACCUCUGACUCUCAGUCCAAUACAUUGCAUAUCUUUCUAACAACACCUUGAUUCCCACUCAGGACACCAGAGCUAGAGAACUUGACAAAGGCAGAAGAAAAUGCCUGAAAGAAACCAUCCUGAUCGGCAGCAAAUCUCUUGACAGCGAGAGCUGUGCGCGGGUCCAUCACCAUUUCAGCAUCAACUCUAAGUACCCCAUGGCCUCUAAUUACAUUAUUGUAGUAGUGGUUGUCGAAUGUAAGUGUUGUAGGGUCAUUAAGAACGAAGCUUGCAUUUGAUGUCAAAGAGCCUUGAGGACAGUUUAUCCUUAGGAAUGCUUCAAACAUGGGCGCCAUGCCUUCUACACGCCCACCUUGAUCAAGUCUGCUUAGACGAUUUAGAAUGUUCAAACAAUGUGUCACCCCUAGUGUGUGCGCGCCUGCAAAUUGCAAUAAUAUGUUUUUGGACAUGUUAGUUUCAUAAAAAGAACAAAAAGGUUGGUUUUUCAAAAAAUGCGCACUGUUUUGAAGAAACCCAAUAGAACAAGUUCGUGUUGUUGUUACCCAUUAUGGCCACAGAUUCUUCGACUGUCAUCCCUUUCUUUGCAAAUAGUUGAAGCAUGCCAUCAACUCCGAUGGUGGCAGAAGGAAGCAAAGAAUCUGCAAGCUUAUAGCUUGGAGGAACAGAAGAGUCUCUUCUUCCCAAAGGAACCUUUAUCUGUGGCCCUCCUGACGCAGACACUGCCUCCCGAGCAGUUAAGACAAGAAUGUCGGAGCAAGAAACCUGUUGGGGACAUUCUAAUUCAACUAUUGACUUGAGAAUGUUGAUUGACUCUCUCUUUCUGAUACCAAAGUUUUUCCCUGCAGCCAUCUCCGAUGACACAGUGUUCUCAUUUGGAUCCACAAGAAUUGAAGCAUCACAGCCCUGUUGUUACAAAAUCAAACCAUCAUUUAUUGAAAAAAUAUAACUAAUAAAAAAUAGACUGCAGAGUUUCUAUUUUUAAGCCAUGCACUUCACCCUCGUUAUUUGGGCUUAUAUCUCAACUAACCCAUGCCUCAAAUUCCUAAACUGAGAGAGAGAGAGAGAGAGAGAGAGAGAGACAAAGAAAAAUAAAAAAAAGACCUGAACUUGGCAAUCAUGGAACAUGAGCCUCAACAGAGCUGCAGGAGCAGUGGGAUCAGCGAGAAAAAUAGGUUGGAGGGCAGCUCUAACAAUGGCCUCGACUUGUGGGCAUGAGUUCUCAUAGAAAUUAUAAGAAAGCCCUUGCCCUUCAGCUCCAAUGCUGAACACAAACAGAGAUAUGCCUACCACUAUAGCUCUCAGAUCCAUUGUGAUGAUUGGCUGGAGUAUUUAAAAAUAAAAUCCUAUGUGAACUUCAAUGCUGCUGCUAUGACUCCCAGAAAACAGAGGACUGUGGCACCACCAGUAGCAGUAUGUGAACUUAAAAGGAUGCCAGUCCAAUUUACCUCCAGUGGAGGGAUCAAUUUUCUUUUAUAAUUGUAAUGCAAUUAUGAACUUGUAAGGCAGCUUAUCCUGUGAAGUAAAUGCUAGAAUUCUACUUAUAGUUUGCCACUAAUAUUCUGUUCUGCAAAUUUUAUUUUGUUUACACAAACCCAGUUGGUAAGUAAUUAUAACUAAACCCUACCCUAAUUACAAUUUACAUCCUUCCCUUUUACCAUGGUGAAUGUCAAGUUCAUCCAUCAUGUGAAGGAUACUGUUUGCCUCCUUUCCUAAUCACGGUUUGAUACAUGUGCAAAAAUAAUUCAUUAAAAACACAAAAAGAAAAAUGUGUGAGAGCAUAUAGGCGUUGCUUAGCAUGUGUCUGACUAAUUCAUAAUGAGCAGUUGAGUCUGGCGGUGGACUGUACUUAAAAUUCCAACCAGAAUCCAAAUAAUGCAGCAGGCAAAAGUUUAAGGCUCAUUUCCAUUUCAUUGAGAAAAAAAAUCAGAAACGAGAUUUUGUUAGAAAAAGAAAAAGAUUGAAGCAUACGAGCCACAAAACAAGAAAAACUUCGACGAGCAAACGAGCCCACUUAUUAAUUAUCUGUCGGUCAAUAUCAGGAAGUUAAGCUUUUCAUGGUUGGUUGGUGGUGGUUCCCACAAACUUUGAUUGGCAUUUUGCAUUGUCAAAAUCAAAUAUGCAAUGCCUUUGAUGGGUUGAUCUUAUCCAACCCCUCCCCACAUUUUAAAUGUCUAUUCCAUAUUUAUUCUUGUAACUUUAAUUGGAUUUGAAGCAUUACUGCUCCCUGCCUUUGAGUAUUUCUGUCUUUGAGUAGAAGGUGUGUGAGUUUAGUAUAUUGUCUUUCUCAAAUGCAUAUUGUAUAUGAAUUUAGUAUAUCGCUUUUCUCAAAUGCACACUGCAUAUAAUUUGGUGCUUUGGUUUGGAAAAUGACCUGCAACUGCCGAAGUAAACGAAGACGGCAUCAUUCACAUGUUCAUGGCGAAGCCAUGUUUUUUGUUUUGUUUUGUACAAAAGAAAAAGCAAGCAUGGCUUUAAAUUUUUAAUCAAUAUAUACAUUCAAACAUCCAGAGGAGAAAUGUAAUGCCAAAAGAAGAGACACGUGUCGAGCGGAGAAUUCUAGAGACUGAUGACACACCGCUCUCAUCAAGAAUAUCGUGAGGCUGUUUUACAAUUGAUGAUCUUUGUUUUUGUUAGUACCACUGUAGAUCUUAUGGGUUUCACUGAUUUCGGUGGUUUGUUCUCAUAGAGAAUGCAUGUCAACACCUCAAUGCAAAAGAAUAGACCGAUCACUGCACUCCAACUGUAUUGUUUUGGACCCAACCCAACGCUCCUAUCUUAUUUAUGAAGUCUGAGCUCUCUUCAUCAGGCAGGCUCCACUUAAACCAAUUGACAUUGAAAUUACUUAAUAAAAGCUGACCAAGUGCACAAUUUUGGUAAUGCCUCUUAAUACCAUUUAUAGGAAGGUCAGGGGUUCGGGUAUUGUAAAGAAUUUUUUGGGGAGAGCUUUCUGUAAACAGCGAUCCGGUUCGGAGUGGUAGCCUAUUAACUACCAUUUUUUUUCACCAAAAAAAUUAAUAAGCUUUAGAAUUUAAGUAUUGCAAUGUUUUCUUCUACAGUGCGGAUGUCCAAAUGUUAUUACCUCCACAAUUAUUGAGAAGACUAUCGAUGAGAGAUCGUACAUAUAUGUAAGCGUAGUAGAAAAAGAGGAGAUUUUUUACCUCCACUUGACAAGCACACAUGUUCAAAGGCUAGAAAGCAUAGAGCACUUUCAAAGUUUCUAGGGUUGACAUAAGAUUUGUUAGAGCCUUUUGUAUUUAUACUUACCACUUUAAAUUCUAACGAAAUCGCACAACUCAUUUAUUCCUUCAAAAUAAAUGACUUUUUGAAUACAUCUAAACUUUGUUUAACUUCUAAAAAGUCAUAAUUGAAUACAUCUAGAUUUCGAUGUAUUUUUUUAAAGUCAAUUGAAAUCUAAAUUGAAUACACCCAAACUUUUACAAAUUCUUUUAAAAUCUUAAUUGAAUACACCUAGAUUUUUAAACUCUUUUAAAAUCUUAAUUGAAUACACCCCCUCCCAAAGAACCAAUUAGAAUAACAAGUGGCUAAUUUUGAGUUUUUCUCUCCAAAUAGGCUCUAUAUGAGUUUUUGUACGAUAUGUUAUGCUAAAAUGAGUUUUUUAAUAAAUAUCUAUAUUUUUUCUACUACCCCUCCUUGCUCUCCUCUAUGUUUACAAUGACGUCCGCACGAUAAUAACGUCUGGACGUCUGUAUAGGAGAAUAACUAUAUAUGUAUAUAUAAGUAAUAUAAACAUAUAUAACCAACUAGUUAUUCAUCUGCCAAGAAACCCUAGCCGCUCUCUCCCUCUGUGAAUCCUAAAGGAAAAUUCCAUAGAAAGGAGAGGAGGAAAAAACCGUCACUGCCCAUCAUCCCCCUCAUCUCUUCUCGUCUUUUCCUUUUAGGUUAAUGAAUAAGUCCACUGGGACGUUUUGAACAAAAAGCCCAUUGUGGUGGUUUCUUUUGAGUCAUGGUUAAGUUGAAGUUCAUCAUCACCCAUUUUAGUCUAUGCUCUCAAUCAAAACAUGUUCUCUAACGUCGUUCAUGUUCUCUAAAUUUGAUUCUACAUCGUUGUUGACGGAGGUUGCUGCAAAUCACUCAAUUGUUCUCUAGCAAUGUUGUUAUUUUCGUUUAUUUGUUUGCUCUUAUGCGCAGGUAAAUCACUGGAAAUUAUAUUUUCCCUAGAUAUGUUAUGAAUGAGGUGGUGGGUGUGGCCACAACGUAGGACUCGUCAAUGGGCGGGGCCGGGCUAGUCUGGCCCAAAUUUAAUGAGCUUGGGCCAAGCCGAGCUAGGCUUUAAAGAGGAGAGAGAAAAUAUCGGGCCGGGCUAGAUUUUUUUAGAAAAUUCAAAGCCAAGCCCGACCCAUGAGCCGAGCUUGAGAAAGCCCAUUGGCCGGGCCGGGCCUAAACGGGCCCUACUUCAUUCAAAAAAAAUCAUAAACUUAAUCAUAAGGGCAUUUGAGUCCAAAUUUGAGAUUAAACGCACUUAAUUCCAAUAUUUUCACAUCAAACCAAAUUCAUAAAACAUCCAAUAAAGUCACACAACUUAUAAAAUUUUCCACAAAAAUAAUAAAACCAAGUAUUAUUUUUGAGGUUAUUACAUAAUUAGAUCGUAAUACGUUUUAAGAAAUAAUUUUAAAAAAUAAUAAGUAUCAAAAAAAAUUUUUUUUUAAGGAUGGUAUGAAUAAAUAUGCAAAUAUUUGGUGCUGUGUUCAAGAAAAGCAUGAUUAUAUUUGGUGGUACGAUUAUAUUUCGUGAUAUGAUUAUAUUUGGUGAUGUGAUAUGUUGUUCAUCUUAUAUAUAAUUGUUGAAUUAAUAAUUCACACAAAUUAAUGUGCUAAUCAUCCAAUUAUAAACUAGGAAUGAGUAAAGAGAAGUAAAUGAAAUGAAACAAAUUAUAUAUGUGAUUUAAGUGAUAUAAUCCUAAACCUAAACUCAUAUUUAUACAUAAUUAUAUAUGUAUGCGGGCCUAACGGACAGGGUUUUUGUGGGCGGGCCGGGCCGAGCUUUUUUUCAAUGGGCCAGGUGGGCCCCCAUCAGCCCAUGAGCCCGCAGGCUAAAUGAUGAGGCCUACCACAACAGCACUUCUUCAGGUGGUGGUGGUAGAGUUCAUUUAGGAUCUUGAGUUGUUUUAAGGUUUUUGUUAUGUUGGGUUUGUGGGUUUUGUUUGGGUUUAUGAUUAAUUGUGGUGAUAUAGGCUAGUAGUUUUAGUGCGGCUUUUGUCCGUGUUAAUUUUAUUUUUAACAUGCUAAUUUGUUACUCUCUUGGAAUUAAUAUUUUAGAUGUCUUUGAUUGUAUCGUUGAAGUUUAUCUAAUAAAGUUUCUAUUUGAUUUAUUUUAAAAAAAGUAAUAUAUACCAAUUGUUUCUCUACCUGGUAAACCUCAAACUUCGUGCAAAUAUUUAUAUUGUAUUUAUGUUGAAUGUACCCACAACAUAGAAUUAACGUUUCUUGCUAUAAAAAUUCUGGACCAAAAUUGUAUGCAUCUUUUAUUUAUUUAAUGGUAUACAUGCAGUUGUAUGUUAAGCAACAAAAGAAAAUUUUGUAACCACGUCAUCAUUUUAAGACUGCCAUAUAUUGAACGGUUACACACGGACGAGCUAAAACCUACCUACAACGGUGUUUGUACACCAUUUGUGUGUGUUUCUCUCCCCAUUUUAGAACAUGUGCCUACCUGUCCACCCUCUCAAUUGCUCAUGAAAAACAAAGAAGUUGAAAAUAAGCAAAUGAAAAGAGAAGAACCAGACAAGAAUCCAACGGAGGCCCUCUAAAAUAGAUGGGAAUUUCGUUUAGCCAACAAUAAACCCCACUAUAUAAACUCUUGACCCAAAUUGAAGAUUUUGCUCUCCCUAAAACAUGGCUGGGUCUACAUCCACAACAUUCAUUACCUUGGCAAUCAUUUUUUCCAUCGCAGUAACUUUCACAAAUGUUGUCGAUGGAUUGACUGCGGAAACAGUAAUUGACUCUCCCCUGUUGACCCAAAAGAUUAACAGCAACCGCACCAUCAAGGUCGAUAUCAAUGGCAAGGGAGAUUUCAAAUCUGUUCAGGCUGCCAUUGAUUCUGUUCCUGAAGGAAAUAGUAAGUGGAUCAUCAUCCAUGUUAGGAAAGGGGUGUACAGGUAAUUCACCAUCAGUUAGAGCCUCUUUUGGAAUUAAUUAGUAAGUUUUUUUUUUAGGUAUUACAUUAUCUCUAAUGCAUUAUAUGUUUUGUCCGGCAGAGAAAAGGUGAUCGUACCACGUAGUAAGCCCUAUAUAUUCAUGAGAGGAAAUGGGAAGGGAAGGUCCGCCAUUGUCUGGUCCCAAAGCUCUUCGGACAAUGUCGAAUCUGCUACUUUCAGCGUCGAAGCUCCCCACUUCAUUGCCUUUGGGAUUAGCUUCAAGGUUCAUCAUCAUUUCCUUCUUCUACUGUUUUUAGAUGAUAAUCUAAACGAAACUCUCAAGCAAAGAAAAACUUAAUCAUUCUCUUAUCGGAAGCGAGGAUUAAAUUUCUGACUGUCUAUAUAUAAUUGAACGAUGAAUCAAUGUGCAGAAUGAGGCUCCCACAGGUGUGGCUUACACCUCGCAGAACCAGUCAGUGGCAGCAUUUGUGGCAGCAGACAAAGUAGCAUUUUACCAUUGUGCAUUUUACAGUACCCAUAACACCCUCUUCGAUUAUAAGGGCAGGCAUUAUUAUGAUAACUGCUACAUCCAAGGCUCAAUCGACUUCAUCUUUGGACGUGGUAAAUCUGUCUACCACGUAAGUAUUAGUACUCCAAUUUAUCAUCAUUUUUGUUUUUAUUUUUGGGGUUUUCAUAUUGUUAAUUUCACAAGAGUAAAUUAAUAUAAAUGUAUACAAUUAAUGCAGGGCUGUGAGAUCUUUGUGAUUGGAGACAAAAGGGUGUCAAUUAAGGGGUCUGUGACAGCUCAAAAUAGGGAGAGCGAGAAGGAGAACAGUGGGUUUGUGUUCAACAAGGGCAAGCUGUAUGGUGUUGGGGACACUGUGUAUCUUGGCAGGGCCAAGGGUGCCUUUUCCAGAGUUGUUUAUGCACACAUGUAUCUCUCCAAAACCGUCGUGCCUCAAGGCUGGACCAAUUGGAGCUAUGCUGGUGGCACAGAGUAAGAACCAACUAACUAACAUGUCCUUGUUUUUUUAAAUACAAGCAAUAGAAAUUUAAAAUACGAGGAAGAAUGGAAUUUCUCACAUACACAUACUAAUAAGGUGUUAUUGGGGUUCGAACCCGAGAUCACUUACGUUUCUCACACACACACUAACAUGUUGUUUUUUGUUCCCUUAAUUGUAUUGGUUGUUAUAUUAUGCCAAAGUUUUGGUCGACUAACACAGAAUGUUGUGGGAUGAUUAUGAAAAUGUACAGAACCUUAUACCAUGCGGAAUAUAAAUGCAAAGGGCCAGGAGCCGAGGCUGGAGGGCGAGCUGAAUGGGCCAAACAACUCACUGAAAAAGAAGCUGCCCCCUUCUUGUCUAUCGACUUCAUCAAUGGCCAGGAAUGGCUCCCAGUGUGGCUAUGAAUUAAUUAACCCUUAAUUAAUUGAUGUUUGUUUGUUCAUGAACCUCGAUCAUUAGAUCAUUAGCCGGGAGUUUACGACAUUGAUCGAACAUGCAAUGCAAGAGGCUCAUAUAUGUUUGAUUAAUCCCUAUAAUUUCUUUCCAUAUACAAAUGUAAAACUCUGUAUUAUAAUCAAAACUUACAUUAUGCAGAUAUAUAUGUGGUUCUAUCCAAUCCAUUAUCCAAUCAAUUGCUAGCUACAAUCUAAUUCAUGUUAAUUCUUUCAAGCUUAUUACUCAAUUCAGAUUCUAGCUUGUACUACAAGUAAUGUCAGCAGUCGCUUGUUCCAACAUUGGGUUUUAUAAAUCAGAAUAUAUAAAUGUUGGUUUUCUACACUACAAGAAAAAAGUCAUUUAACAACGCACAUUGUGCGUUGUGAAAACGUAUUGACAAUACACGGCACACGUUGUUGAAGCCGAUAUCAUUAGAAGCUCUAUGGCUUUCAAUGAUGCACUUUGCAUGUUGUCCUUGAUUUGAUCGCGUGUUGUAAACACCAGUAAUGGCAACGUGCGCAUGUUGUGAAAGUAUAGAACAACAACGUAUUCUGCAUGUUGUUGUAUGUUUGAUUGACAACGUUCAUGCGCGUCUUGUUGUUUUACAUUUCAACAACACUCUUUGCACGUUGUGAUAUUAAAUAUUAUUACUUUUAAUAUUAUUUUUAGAAUUACUUUAUAACAAUACAAUCUAGCCAAGUAUAACCAUUUUCUUCCUUUUCAACCAUAAGAUAACCCAGAAUAGAGUUUUCAUUAAGAAAAAAAAUAGCUCCAUACAUAUUAGAAAGAUCAACAAAUCCAUUGUCAAGUUACAUUUGUCCAAACGGAAAUGAAGGGAAAUUGUACUAUCAGAGUAAUUCAACUUCAACAUUUUGUUAAGCAUGGUCUAGCAAACUGAUUAGUUACAUUUCAAAGUCUUGAAGCACCUGAAGAGAUCCAAGAACCGAGCAUCCAAGCAAGAAUGGUGCACCUAUGGAAACUCAUUUGAUUGUUUGCUCCCGUGUCGUUAUCUAGUAAAAAAUUCCAUAAGGCUAUGAGCAAAUAAAAAAAAUAGACAUAACCAAAAUAAUAAAUAAAUAAUAACAAAUUAUUCCAAUUGCUAAGAAGUCUACUGUCAAAAGCAAUGCUUGCAUAAACUAUAAUGUAUCUCCAUGAAAAGCUAUGAAUAUAUAUAUAUAUAAUUCUUUUCGGAGAUUUUACUACACAUAUCUAUUCUAGUACAAACCAGCUAUUAGCAUGCAACUCUGGGCAACAUUUUGCGAAGUCAAGGUGAGAUUCUGCCAAAAACUGUAAGACAUUCACUUUACCACAAAGUAACACUAUAUACAAGUACCACACCAUGCAUCAUAUUAAAUAUCUUGUCACCCACUGCCUAUAAGAUGCCUCACCUGAUAAACGGACCAACCUCCAUUACACUACCAUAAUUCUUCUUCACAACCUAAUUUCAAAAUACAUCUUUCCCACCGCCUAUUAUCACCUCCAUUUUCCCAUAUACUGCAAGAUUCAGCAACAUUUAAAACAAAUUGUAACCCAACCAACCCAGUGGUAUCCACAAUCGCCUUGACCAUUCCAUUAAAAGAAAUGGUGGAUUUUGUAAAACAGUUUUCAAGCUACAAGUGAAGGGCCAGUAAAUGAAGACAUUAAUAGAACAUUUUAACACACAAAUACAAUCAAGAUUUCAAGAGAUUGUAAUAGACGGAUGUAAUCAGGGUAAGUAGGCAACUAAAUCUCAGAGAGUGACACAACAGAGAGAUCAUAUAUAACAACCUCAGGAUGAUGCACAACAUGCUCCAUCUGCUUCAGUCACUUUCAAAUUUCCUCAAGAUUUUCCCCACAAAAUGACAUUUAUGUGAACCUAUAAACUAGACAAAAUAAAGAAUGAACAGAAACAUUAAGGAAUGAACAUUGCACCAGAGUUAGCAGCUGCAAACAUAAACUAUAAUCUAGAGUGCUUAAGCAGAAAAAUCACAUAGACUGAAUUGAUUGAAAGUCUUGUGUUUACAAUAUUGUUGACCUUAUUCUUGUGGAAGGCUUUGAUGGGUCCACAUAGAGCUGAAUAGCAGACAAAUAAGGAACAUAGCACAUAACAGAGUCACUCCCAUUUUGUGACCCAUGCACCGUACGCACUCCAGUCCUUGAAAGACUCCCAUAAAUCUCCAUGUACAAAGUCGGGAUGUAACUCUGGCUCAUGAGUCCUCCAUCUCCUCACUCUUGUCUAUCCAUCACCAAAAUGGGACCUUAUGAGAAAAGCAUGUAUAAUUACAGUAACAAUAAAUAUUAUACCAGGUAGAAAACUUGAAAACCCAAUACGUAUAAUUCUUCAAGUAGAAAACUUUAACUAAAGUUAGACAGACAAGUUGUAUUGAGCUCAGUUUGGAGUGUUUAGAAGUGAUAAAGAUAAUCCAAUACUCAUAGUACUUUCUCAUCUUCCUCUGAUUCUAAAAAUAAAUAGUAUACAUGUACACAUACACGUCUCUUCUUCAGUUAGACUCUCAUAGUACUUUAUAAAUCUCUCCUCUGAAGGAGAAAUAACACACAAGAUUUAACAAAAUGGCAAGACAAAAAAAAAAUAGAAAAUACAAAGAACAGAAAAUAAAUAAAUAAAUAAAUAAACCCAGGAGAUUUGUACCAUUCCAAAACCCUUUAUCUGUUCAUGCCUUUGUAAAAAUUUACAAUUUAGGUUAUACACAAGAAUUCAUAUAAAGCAAAUCGAAGAUAUAAAUAAGCUACAAACCAAACAUAACCCAAAUGAAAAUUAAUCCCUAAUUUUCAGUAACAGGACAAAAAGGGAACUCAAUUACCCGAUUGCAGAUAUCGAAGAUGAGCAACUCCAAAUCAGAGCGAGCCAACGGUCUGCGUCUGUGCAGUGGCGUGAGACAUCGAGUAGGCGGCGAGGGCGGUCCUCAGAUGCCCAGCCCUAAAAGUUACUGAUAUGAGAGAGAGAGAGAGAGAGAGAGAGAGCUUUUGCCAUGGAGGCUUGAGGGAUGGUUAGAGUUUAGAUUUCGUGGGUCUUUGAUGGAAUUUUUAAGAGUAGAGAAAAAUUUGGAGAUUGGGUUGUGAGUCGUGACGAUGGAGAGAGAGAGUUUUUAAAAGAUGUAGAGAGCUUGUCAAAUGUUUAGAACAUUUCAGAUUUUGAGAGAAAGUGAGUCUCUUUUUUUUGUUUGAAUGAGAGGGAUUUUUUCCCGCAAAAAAUUUGGCUCUUUUUUUUUUAAUCAAUUUUUUUCCCCUUUUUUUUUAUUAUUAUAGAAAAGUGAUAUAGUUUUGACAACAUACUAUGCGUAUUGUUGAACUAAAUAUACAAUAAGAAGCCAAAGUGCAUUGUCAAAAAAAUCUCUAAAUUUCGUUUCAACAACGUGCCGUAAAUACACGUUGUUAAACUCUAUGUACUACAACAUACUAUUGCAGCACGUUGUGAAAGCCCAUCUCCACAACUCACAACCUAUGCAUGCACGUUGUUAAUGACAUGUUGUUGUAGAACAUUUUUCUUGUAGUGCUAUUUGAGUGUUAAUAAAUAAAUAUUUUGGUUCUUGCCUUCUUACGUUCAGUUAUGGUAGUCGUUUAGGCCAAAGCUUGAGAUCACAAAAUGCUUGCAUGGAAGAUCUAAAUAAAAGCUAAUGGAGAAGCACGUUACAGCUCUUCAUUUAUUCUCUAUAGUUUAAGGGCAAUACAUUUUCAUGCACGAUAGCAUACAACACACGACUUUUGCAUGCUAACUAGGGCUAAAGCUGAAUUUGGGAUUUAAAAUCCACCACCACCAGCACCGCCACCAAAUCCACCACCAGCACCGCCGCCAGCUCCUCCUCCUACACCGCCGCCUUUGCCACCCGCGGAAAGCCUCCACCACCACCACCACCUGCACCACCUCCA
rnacentral:lncRNA from 1 species